GAACCUACGGCCCUGCGAUUCCGGUGCAAUGCUCUAACCGCUGUAAUCAUCAUAGUUUAUUAUUUUUAGAAAAGGGCCAUUCCAUUUUAAUAUCCACACCCCCCUGUUGACGAUUGACUGUUGACAGUUACAGAUUUUAAAUCCCUUUGGAAACGGUUUUCCGGAAGACCCCCUUGGAAAUUCACUAUUUUAUGCUAGAACCCCCUCAGGAAUUUCCAAUUUUUCUCAAGACCCUCGGAAAUACCAGUUUGAUUCCAUUAUGAUAAUAGACCCCCUCUGAAAUUUUCAGGAAUUUAUUGACCACCCCCUCAGAAAUUUUCGUCAACAG
rnacentral:lncRNA from 1 species